GGGUAGUUUCCAGAGUGGCCAAAUGGAACUGACUGUAACUCAGUUGACGUACGUCUUCGGUGGUUCGAAUCCAUCACUACCCAC
rnacentral:tRNA from 1 species